ACCCCAUGCCGAACUCAGAAGUGAAACGCCGUAGCGCCGAUGGUAGUGUGGGGUCUCCCCAUGCGAGAGUAGGACACUGCCAGGC
rnacentral:rRNA from 1 species